GGAGGAAGGUGGGAUGACGUCAAAUCAUCAUGCCCCUUAUGACCUGGGCUACACACGUGCUACAAUGGGCGGUACAAAGGGCUGCGAACCCGCGAGGGGGAGCGAAUCCCAAAAAGCCGCUCUCAGUUCGGAUUGCAGGCUGCAACUCGCCUGCAUGAAGCCGGAAUCGCUAGUAAUCGCGGAUCAGCAUGCCGCGGUGAAUACGUUCCCGGGCCUU
rnacentral:rRNA from 1 species